UUGAACGCUGGCGGCAGGCCUAACACAUGCAAGUCGAGCGGUAGCACAGAGAGCUUGCUCUCGGGUGACGAGCGGCGGACGGGUGAGUAAUGUCUGGGAAACUGCCUGAUGGAGGGGGAUAACUACUGGAAACGGUAGCUAAUACCGCAUAAUGUCGCAAGACCAAAGUGGGGGACCUUCGGGCCUCAUGCCAUCAGAUGUGCCCAGAUGGGAUUAGCUAGUAGGUGGGGUAACGGCUCACCUAGGCGACGAUCCCUAGCUGGUCUGAGAGGAUGACCAGCCACACUGGAACUGAGACACGGUCCAGACUCCUACGGGAGGCAGCAGUGGGGAAUAUUGCACAAUGGGCGCAAGCCUGAUGCAGCCAUGCCGCGUGUGUGAAGAAGGCCUUCGGGUUGUAAAGCACUUUCAGCGGGGAGGAAGGCGUUAAGGUUAAUAACCUUGGCGAUUGACGUUACCCGCAGAAGAAGCACCGGCUAACUCCGUGCCAGCAGCCUCGGUAAUACGGAGGGUGCAAGCGUUAAUCGGAAUUACUGGGCGUAAAGCGCACGCAGGCGGUCUGUCAAGUCGGAUGUGAAAUCCCCGGGCUCAACCUGGGAACUGCAUUCGAAACUGGCAGGCUAGAGUCUUGUAGAGGGGGGUAGAAUUCCAGGUGUAGCGGUGAAAUGCGUAGAGAUCUGGAGGAAUACCGGUGGCGAAGGCGGCCCCCUGGACAAAGACUGACGCUCAGGUGCGAAAGCGUGGGGAGCAAACAGGAUUAGAUACCCUGGUAGUCCACGCCGUAAACGAUGUCGAUUUGGAGGUUGUGCCCUUGAGGCGUGGCUUCCGGAGCUAACGCGUUAAAUCGACCGCCUGGGGAGUACGGCCGCAAGGUUAAAACUCAAAUGAAUUGACGGGGGCCCGCACAAGCGGUGGAGCAUGUGGUUUAAUUCGAUGCAACGCGAAGAACCUUACCUGGUCUUGACAUCCACAGAACUUAGCAGAGAUGCUUUGGUGCCUUCGGGAACUGUGAGACAGGUGCUGCAUGGCUGUCGUCAGCUCGUGUUGUGAAAUGUUGGGUUAAGUCCCGCAACGAGCGCAACCCUUAUCCUUUGUUGCCAGCGGUUAGGCCGGGAACUCAAAGGAGACUGCCAGUGAUAAACUGGAGGAAGGUGGGGAUGACGUCAAGUCAUCAUGGCCCUUACGACCAGGGCUACACACGUGCUACAAUGGCAUAUACAAAGAGAAGCGACCUCGCGAGAGCAAGCGGACCUCAUAAAGUAUGUCGUAGUCCGGAUUGGAGUCUGCAACUCGACUCCAUGAAGUCGGAAUCGCUAGUAAUCGUAGAUCAGAAUGCUACGGUGAAUACGUUCCCGGGCCUUGUACACACCGCCCGUCACACCAUGGGAGUGGGUUGCAAAAGAAGUAGGUAGCUUAACCUUCGGGAGGGCGCUUACCACUUUGUGAUUCAUGACUGGGGUG
rnacentral:rRNA from 1 species